GUGCCAUGCUUGCAAAAUGACCCAAGAGGCAUUAUGAGGGAGGUGAGAAUGAUGCUUUAGCAAAGCCGAUAUCAAUCUUCAAUCGACCGGGUUCAGGUUCAAAAAAACGUACAAGAGAAUUUAAUGAUAUGGAGUCUAAAUCUGCAUCGAUACAUGUCUUGCUAAAUUGCCUGGAAGUUCAACGAUAUUAUGACUACUUUGUACAUUUAAAUGGCAUUGAAAAAGUGUACGACCAGUUUGGGAAGUGGUUUAACGAUUAUAUACCUCAACGAAGACAUUCUUUGAGCCAUUUCGACCUUUUAGAGAUCUGAGAGGGGUAUUGCACUUG